rnacentral:rRNA from 1 species
GACGUAGGGCGCGAGCGUUGUCCGGAUUUAUUGGGCGUAAAGAGCUCGUAGGCGGCUUGUUGCGUCGACUGUGAAAACCCGCGGCUUAACUGCGGGCUUGCAGUUGAUACGGGCAGGCUAGAGUUCGGUAGGGGAGACUGGAAUUCCUGGUGUAGCGGUGAAAUGCGCAGAUAUCAGGAGGAACACCAAUAGCGAAGGCAGCUCGCUGGGACGUUACUGACACUGAGGCGCGAAAGCGUGGGGAGCGAACAGG